UCUUCUGCAGUUCCAAGUUAAGGUUAAUUACAAAAUAUUAAAAGUACGUAUUCAAUGUUUCGCUCUUAGUCCGAGAAUGGAGUUGUACAGAAGUAACAAGUGACAAGCUAGAAGAUGUAUUUGAGAAUGCGUGAAUCAGCACAAAAUUAAAGAUGGAUUGCUUGGAGGAAAUUUUCUUAAAUCCAAAUGCGCCGGAAGGUGUAAAUGACGAGUUUGUGUACGAAGAGCCCGAUGACGAAUUUGAAUCCCCAGAUGUCCGUGCUGAAUUUGAUUACGAUCACGAUGUUUUUUAUACCAAGGAGGUGUUUGACACACACAUAGAUUUGGUAGACUGGGCUCAAAAAACGGCAAAGGAGCUUGGUUAUGUGUUAGUAACACGAAGAUCAAAUGCCACAAAAGGCGGAGAAGUUAAAAAGGUGGUCCUUAUUUGCAACCGUGGUGAAAAAAAAAGAUAAGCGGUCAACCGGGGCACCCAAAGGGAGUACCAAAAUUGACUGUCCAUUCAAAUUGGUAGGCCGUCUGACAAAGGACCAUAGUUGGUGGGUUGAAGUUAUAGAUCACCGACAUAACCAUCCAUCAGCUCGUAAUUUGGAAGGUAUUGCGUACGCAAGACGACUAACCGAUAUUCAAAAAGAAUUUGUGGACGAAAAGGCGUUGCUAGGUUUUGGGCCAAAUAGCAUACGGGUAUACAAUACGUUUUGUAUACGCCCAUAGAUUUAAUGUAUUGUUGUUCUUGUGUUCUUGUUGUUGUUCUUGUUUUUGUUAUGUAAAAAUGUUUGUAAAAA